AGUGAACGCUGGCGGUAGGCCUAACACAUGCAAGUCGAACGGCAGCACAGUAAGAGCUUGCUCUUACGGUGGCGAGUGGCGGACGGGUGAGGAAUACAUCGGAAUCUACUUUUUCGUGGGGGAUAACGUAGGGAAACUUACGCUAAUACCACAUACGACCUACGGGUGAAAGCAGGGGAUCUUCGGACCUUGCGCGAUUGAAUGAGCCGAUGUCGGAUUAGCUAGUUGGCGGGGUAAAGGCCCACCAAGGCGACGAUCCGUAGCUGGUCUGAGAGGAUGAUCAGCCACACUGGAACUGAGACACGGUCCAGACUCCUACGGGAGGCAGCAGUGGGGAAUAUUGGACAAUGGGCGCAAGCCUGAUCCAGCCAUACCGCGUGGGUGAAGAAGGCCUUCGGGUUGUAAAGCCCUUUUGUUGGGAAAGAAAAGCAGCAGGUUAAUACCCCGCUGUUCUGACGGUACCCAAAGAAUAAGCACCGGCUAACUUCGUG
rnacentral:rRNA from 1 species